AGGAUUUAUACAUUUUAUUUUAAGGAUUUAUACAUUUUUAUUUUAAGGUUUUAUACAUUUUAUUUUAAGGAUUUAUACAUUUUAGACACACGACAGGAGAAAGGAACAGGUUUGGAGUGAGUUAGUUUGAGGUUUGGCUGUGAGUUGUGAGUUGAAUCUGAGUUCUUUAAUCUGAG